UAUUAUGCUAAAUGAAAUAAGCCAGGGAACGACAAAUACUGUAUUUUCUCACUUGUGUGGAAUCUAAAAUAGACUCAUAGAAGCAGGGUAGAAUGGUGAGCCCCAGGGGCUGGGGAAGGGGACAUGGGGAGAUGAUGAUCAAAGGGUACAAUGUAGUUAUGCAGGAUGAGUAAGUUCUGGAGAUGCAUAAUACAGCAUGGUGCCUAUAGCUAACAAUAUGGUAUUGCAUACUUAAAAUUUGCUAAUAGGGUAGAUCUUAAGUAUUCUUAUCACACAUGCACACAAAUAAUAAAGAGGCAAGAGGAAAACCUUGGGAGGUGAUGGAUAUAUUUGUGGCCUUGAUGGUGGUGAUGGUUUCAUGGAUAUAUACUUAUCAACAAAUUUAUUAAAUUGUAUACAUUAAAUAUGUACAGCUUUUUACAUGUCAAUCAUACCUGAAUAAAAUGUUUUUUUUUUUUAAAGAAAAGAAAACCUGAUUUGUGACUCCUCAAGCUUUGGGGACACAGAGGGUUGGUAUCUGAUUCAUGCCUGAGGAAAAAAAAACCCCUACAACAGAGUUGAGGAUGCAUUUAGGAAGUCACUACACUCUCACAGGUUCCUGGUUCUGACCUAGUCAUCUCACUACCUAUAAGCCAAGUCAUCUUUAAUCAAAGAGACAGGAAAAAUAUAAGAUGUGCACCUUCACAGGAGGAGCCAUCAUAGUUCAUUCAGAAAACUUGUAGAAACUGGAGGUUAAGGAUCCAGCUAAGAGAAUGUCCUGAUGUCUAAUUCAGAUGGAUACCCUCUACAGCUGGAGUCUGUUCCUGAGGCAGCCUUUUAAUAUGAAGACAGCAAGAUUCUAAGAGCGCACCCCUGCCUCCUAUCUCCACCUGCACUGCCCCAAUCUCCUUCAAACUGCACACAUAGCUUUUCUCAAAAAGUACUUUGGCCUCCGAGUUUAUCAUUUCUGACAAAAUAAACUCGCUGAGAAUAAUCCACUAGACAUCACCCUGACCCCCAGAUUCUAGGCUCCUUUGAAUCAAAAGCAUUUGUCAGCCUGUGUGGUAUUACUGGAAUUUGUGAAGAUUACACUAACCCUAAAUAGGUCCCAACAAAUGAGGGGUGGUAUGGAGAAGUGGUUAGGAACAGACACUGGGGCCAGGCUUCUGAGGCUCCACCGUUCACUAGCUGUGUGAUGGGCAAGCUCCUUAAUUUCUCUAAGCCUCAGUUUACUCACCUAUAAAAUGGGGAUAACAGGUUUGUGGUGAGGAGAAACAGGACAAGGCAUGCAAAAAGGGUGUAACCCAGAGGAAACCCUCAAUAGAUGGUAAUUGUGAUUAUUAUCCCCCUAGUAGAUGUCACCUCUAGAGGACACGUCCUUAUAACACAGGCAGGUCCCGGAGCAAGUACGCUGCUCUCGCUUUCUAGAGUCACCAGCGAUAACCUCUCUGUCCCAGGAGGAUGUCUUACAUGAGGGCACCAGAGAGCACUUUCUUGCAGGGUUUUUCUCUUUUUUUUUAAAGACAAAGUUAAGAGCCUUGAAAUGAGACAAGUAAAAACAAGUACCAGAAUUGCAAAGUUAACAUUUUUAUUGAACUGAAAUUGUUGUCGAACAACAGGGGCCACCACAGCUGCUGAGCUCGUAACAACUGAGAACUCCCGGUGACA